UACGUAGGGGGCUAGCGUUGUCCGGAAUCAUUGGGCGUAAAGCGCGUGUAGGCGGUUCGGUAAGUCCGCUGUGAAAGUCGGGGGCUCAACCCUCGAAUGCCGGUGGAUACUGUCGGACUAGAGUACGGAAGAGGCGAGUGGAAUUCCUGGUGUAGCGGUGAAAUGCGCAGAUAUCAGGAGGAACACCAAUUGCGAAGGCAG
rnacentral:rRNA from 1 species